AUUGAACGCUGGCGGCAGGCCUAAUACAUGCACGUAGAACGAGUUGCGAACGGGUGAGUAACGCGUGGUAACCUGCCUCAUAGCGGUGGAUAACUAUUGGAAACGAUAGCUAAUACCGCAUACUGUGAGAUGGAACUGCGUUGUAGUAGCUAGUUGGUGAGGUAAAGGCUCACCAAGGCGACGAUACAUAGACGACCUGAGAGGGUGACCAGCCACACUGGAACUGAGACACGGUCCAGACUCCUACGGGAGGCAGCAGUGGGGAAUAUUGCACAAUGGGCGCAAGCCUGAUGCAGCCAUGCCGCGUGUAUGAAGAAGGCCUUCGGGUUGUAAAGUACUUUCAGCGAGGAGGCGUUACUCGCAGAAGAAGCACCGGCUAACUCCGUGCCAGCAGCCGCGGUAAUUC
rnacentral:rRNA from 1 species